UGGGGAAUUUUGGACAAUGGGCGAAAGCCUGAUCCAGCAAUGCCGCGUGUGUGAAGAAGGCCUUCGGGUUGUAAAGCACUUUUGUCCGGAAAGAAAUCCUUGGCUCUAAUACAGCCGGGGGAUGACGGUACCGGAAGAAUAAGCACCGGCUAACUACGUGCCAGCAGCCGCGGUAAUACGUAGGGUGCAAGCGUUAAUCGGAAUUACUGGGCGUAAAGCGUGCGCAGGCGGUUUGCUAAGACCGAUGUGAAAUCCCCGGGCUCAACCUGGGAACUGCAUUGGUGACUGGCAGGCUAGAGUAUGGCAGAGGGGGGUAGAAUUCCACGUGUAGCAGUGAAAUGCGUAGAGAUGUGGAGGAAUACCGAUGGCGAAGGCAGCCCCCUGGGCCAAUACUGACGCUCAUGCACGAAAGCGUGGGGAGCAAACAGGAUUAGAUACCCUGGUAGUCCACGCCCUAAACGAUGUCAACUAGUUGUUGGGGAUUCAUUCCUUAGUAACGUAGCUAACGCGUGAAGUUGACCGCCUGGGGAGUACGGUCGCAAGAUUAAAACUCAAAGGAAUUGAC
rnacentral:rRNA from 1 species